rnacentral:rRNA from 1 species
UAGGGAAUCUUCCACAAUGGACGCAAGUCUGAUGGAGCAACGCCGCGUGAGUGAAGAAGGCUUUCGGGUCGUAAAACUCUGUUAUUGAAGAAGAACGUGUGUGACAGUAACUGGUCAUGCAGUGACGGUAUUCAAUCAGAAAGUCACGGCUAACUACGUGCCAGCAGCCGCGGUAAUACGUAGGUGGCAAGCGUUGUCCGGAUUUACGU